UACAGGGGGUGCAAACGUUGCUCGGAAUCAUUGGGCGUAAAGCGCACGUAGGCGGUUUGUUAUGUCGGAUGUGAAAGCCCUUGGCUCAACUGAGGAAGUGCAUCCGAAACUGGCAAGCUAGAGUACUAAAGAGGGUCGCGGAAUUCCCGGUGUAGAGGUGAAAUUCGUAGAUAUCGGGAGGAACACCGGUGGCGAAGGCGGCGACCUGGGUAGAUACUGACGCUGAGGUGCGAAAAGCGUGGGGGAGCAAACAGG
rnacentral:rRNA from 1 species